rnacentral:rRNA from 1 species
AAAAUUUUAAUGGUCGAACAGACCAAACAUUUUUAGCUUCUGCACCAAAAAUUAAUUUUAAUCCAACAUCGAGGUCGCAAUCUUUUUUUUUAAUUUGGACUCUAAAAAAAAAUUACGCUGUUAUCCCUAAGGUAAUUUUAUCUUUUAAUCAUAAUUAAUGGAUCAAAUAUUCAUAAAUUAAUGUUUUUUUAAAAAAAAAGUUUAUUAAAUUUUUCAAUCACCCCAAUCAAAUAAAAAUUAACUAAUAAAAAUUAAAAUUCUAAAAACUUCAUUAUUUAAAUUUUAUAAAACUCUAUAGGGUCUUCUCGUCUUUUAAAAAAAUUUAAGCUUUUUAACUUAAAAAUAAAAUUCUUUAAUAAUUUAAAUAGAGACAGUUUUUUUCUCAUUCAACCUUUCAUUCCAGCUUUCAAUUAAAAAACUAAUGAUUAUGCUACCUUUGCACAGUCAAAAUACUGCGGCCAUUUAAAUUUUCAGUGGGCAGGCUAGACCUUAAAUUAUCAACGUAAGGCC